UGUACAUACCGAUUUGUAUGUGUAAAUAUAUACGCAUGUCCCUACAUAUUACAAGCUUCAGCUAUAGAGAAGCCAAGUCCCCCACUGGACUACACGUUAAUUUUAGGGGAAAGCGUAAUAAGAUUUGAUCCACCUAUGAAUAAUGAUGAAAAGAUUAUCGUUGUGCUAAGAAAUCAAGAAUUAUAAUGGAAAGAUUAAGAUUUUGCAAAGGAUCUCGUUUGUGGUCGCAGGUGAGGUUAGAACGCGGAGGCAAAAUGCAUUAGUGGUACAAUUUUAAACGUGGCCAGCUGCCUCGUGUUAUUAGACGUAUAUUUGGACCAUGGUCCUGCCGAAAUUUCUGUCCAUACUGAGAGAAUGAAUUAAUAAACAAUGAAAAGGGGUCAUUAUGGACCAAUAAAAUAUUCUAUGUCACAGAGGUGCUUAAGGCCCGCGCGGCUCUUCCUCAAAAUUAUGUCUUUCCAAUCCGCGGCUAACAUAAGUUACACGGAGAUUGCUGGAGGCUGCGUGUAAAUUAGCAUAGCUCCAUCCGCAACCUACAACGUAUAAGUACAGGAUGCAGAAGAUAAACCACGAUAGUCGAGAACACAGUUUAUCGUCGGCUGCGUUUGAUGCAUACAAUACUUAAGUAAGAGCAAGUUUGUACGUAUAUAUUAAAAACAUGUUUAACGUAACUUGAUGAUUAUUUAAUGAGAAUUCUAUUUAGCUUAUUAUUUGCCAGUAUAUAUUUAAUCUACUGAGCUGAAUUAUUUUUGAAGAAAAAUCCUAAGUUUUUGCAAAACCAAAUUGUAUUACAACAAAUUAUU